rnacentral:rRNA from 1 species
AGAUUCCAGGCCCUACGGGGCGCAGCAGGCGCGAAACCUUUACACUGCGCGACAGUGCGAUAAGGGGACCCCGAGUGCGAGGGCAUACAGUCCUCGCUUCUGUGUACCGUAGGGAGGUACACGAAUAAGGGCUGGGCAAGACCGGUGCCAGCCGCCGCGGUAAUACCGGCAGCUCAAGUGGUGGCCGCUGUUAUUGGGCCUAAAGCGUCCGUAGCCGGCCGCACAAGUCCGUCGGGAAAUCCACCCGCCUAACGGGUGGGCGUCCGGCGGAAACUGUGCGGCUUGGGACCGGAAGACUCGAGGGGUACGUCCGGGGUAGGAGUGAAAUCCCGUAAUCCUGGACGGACCGCCGGUGGCGAAAGCGCCUCGAGAGGACGGAUCCGACGGUGAGGGACGAAAGCUAGGGUCUCGGACCGGAUUAGAUACCCGGGUAGUCCUAGCCGUAAACGAUGCUCGCUAGGUAGCCGUAAACGAUGCUCGCUAGGUGUGGCGCAGGCUACGAGCCUGCGCUGUGCCGUAGGGAAGCCGUGAAGCGAGCCGCCUGGGAAGUACGUCCGCAAGGAUGAAACUUAAAGGAAUUGGCGGGGGAGCACUACAACCGGAGGAGCCCGCGGUUUAAUUGGACUCAACGCCGGACAUCUCACCAGCACCGACAGUAGUCGUGACAGUCAGGUUGAUGACCUUACUCGAGCAACUGAGAGGAGGUGCAUGGCCGCCGUCAGCUCGUACCGUGAGGCGUCCUGUUAAGUCAGG